rnacentral:tRNA from 1 species
GUUAGUGUAGCUUAUUCAAAGUGUAGCACUGAAAAUGCUAAGAUAGAUUUUAAUAGAUCUCACAAACA